AUUUUUUCUUUUAUGGUUAUGGUUUGUAUGUCUUUAUUUAAGAAACAUUGUGUAAUUCAAGAGUAUAUAAAAUAUUUAUCGUUUUCUUCUAGAAGUUAUAACUUCAGCUUUACCUGUAUGUUUAUUUUGAGUUCAUUUUAAUAUCUGGUUGAGUUAAAGGUUGGGGUUCAUUCAUUUGCAUACAUAUAUUCAAUUGUUCCACUGUUAAUUGAAUAGAUAAUCCUUUCCCUAUCAAAUUACCUUGGCACUUUGUUUAAAAUCAAUUGACGAUACACACACACCCACACACACACACACACACACACACAUAUAGAUCUAUUUCUGAAUUCUAUUCUCUUCUAUUGAUUUAUAUCCUGUGUCAGCAGUAAUAACUUGUUACUACAGCUCUAUAAUUAUUGAACUUAUAGUUUUUAAAAAAUAGAUAUAUAAAUCAACUUUUGUCUUCUUUUCCAAACUUAUUUUAGUUCCUUUGCACCUUUCUAUAUGUAAUUCAGCAUCUGAUUAUCAGAUUUGCUAAUUUUGCCUGCUUGAAUAUUGCCUGGCACUAUUGGGAUUUUGUUAAAUGUGUAGAUCGUUUUGGAGAAAAUGGCUCUUAGUAAUAUCAAAUUUAAAAUCUAUGAAUAUGUUUUUCUUUCCAUUUAUUUUUCUUAUUUCUCAUCAGUUUUAUUUAGUUUUUAAUGAUGGUAUUAUGCAUCAUUUGUUACAUGCAUUUCUAAUUAUUUCACAUUUUGGGCUAUAGAGCAGUUAUCUUGCCUUGUUUCUG
rnacentral:lncRNA from 1 species